UGACCGCUGGCGGCGUGCCUAAUACAUGCACGUCGAGCGAACAGACGAGGAGCUUGCUCCUCUGACGUUAGCGGCGGACGGGUGAGUAACACGUGGAUAACCUACCUAUAAGACUGGGAUAACUUCGGGAAACCGGAGCUAAUACCGGAUAAUAUAUUGAACCGCAUGGUUCAAUAGUGAAAGACGGUUUUGCUGUCACUUAUAGAUGGAUCCGCGCCGCAUUAGCUAGUUGGUAAGGUAACGGCUUACCAAGGCAACGAUGCGUAGCCGACCUGAGAGGGUGAUCGGCCACACUGGAACUGAGACACGGUCCAGACUCCUACGGGAGGCAGCAGUAGGGAAUCUUCCGCAAAGGGCGAAAGCCUGACGGAGCAACGCCGCGUGAGUGAUGAAGGUCUUCGGAUCGUAAAACUCUGUUAUUAGGGAAGAACAAAUGUGUAAGUAACUAUGCACGUCUUGACGGUACCUAAUCAGAAAGCCACGGCUAACUACGUG
rnacentral:rRNA from 1 species